rnacentral:snoRNA from 1 species
CGAGCCCAUGACGAAAACUCACUUUGCGGUUAUGAGCCUGAACAACAUUGAUGUCAAUCUAAAGUGCCUGAGGCUCG